CUGGUAAUUUAUUCGCUUAAACCUUAAAAAACAUAUGUUGAUCACAAAAAAAAAAAACCUUAAAAACAUACAUAAAUAUUCUAGUUGAUAUUAAUUGAUAAUAUAUCAUUUAAUUCCAAAUUAUUAACAACAGUUUAACGAAAAAGUCAAACGUUUGGUUUUAUAUCACGAUCUUGAUUUGAUUUAGGUCAUGAUUCACGCCGUCACCGUCGUUGUCGCAUAGAUCGGAGACCAAAACGGAGAUGGAGAGGAAGGCAGGAGUGACGAGGAAGAUGAGUCCCACAGGAACCAUCCAAAGAUUAGAAUUUGUGGGAUGGUAUUUGUAAACCCAAUAUGUUAGAAAUAAUCCUGCGAAUAUAACCACGAUCACUGAGUAUAAUAAGAACACCAUUGACGACAUACUCUUCUUCUUCUCCUUCCAAGUCUUCUCAUCUGUCUUCUUCAUAUUCGUGUUUCAUUUUCUAGGUGAAGUGAAAGGAAAGAGGUGAGAUGACGAUAGCUGUAAUAUUUUAUAGAGUGUAUAAGUAUAUAUAUACAGUCGUGUUUCAGUUCGUGUAUGCUGGUUUAGAAAAUUAUAAUUUCAAAAUCGGACCCGAUGAUCAUAUGGUUUGCGUCAAUUUUUCUUUGGCUCUAUUUUUUAUUUCUUCUUUUCUUUGUUUUAGUAAAUGUUACCUAAAACUCGAUUGGAUAUUUACACCUAUUUUUGAGGCAGGUACAACCAGGGGCGGACCGAUCAGGUAAUAGAGAGGUGUGGCACCGGUGGAUCUUUCAUAUUUUACAAAGUUUAUCUUCGCAAUUGGCUCUAUUUAAAAAGGAGUUUAUGUCUUCUUUCUUUGAUUUAGUAAACGGUACCAAAAACUCGUUUGGAUAUUAUCGAGGUAAAACCCCGGUUUAGUUUGGUCAAUGUAUAUAUUCAAUAAAAUGCACUUCUAACACGUAUUAUGUUUAGCUUCUACAGAAUACAGAAAACUAAGGAUUUUGGAAAACAUUUUUAAAAUUUUAAUAUUAUUUGAGGUAUUUUUAUUAUAUGCUCCAAGUUAUAAUUUCUGUUACGAGGCGAAAAGAAACGUGAGAGAGGAAGGGCGAACACAGUGCCGUGUGAUGCAAGUAGAGUUACGUAUUUGUACAUGCACAAUAUAAUUUGAAGGCAUUAUAUAU
rnacentral:lncRNA from 1 species